GGUGGAAUUAAAGAGCUGAGGUCUAUGGUGAUAGGUGGGAUGGGCUGGGAGUGGCUGAGGGGUGGAAUUAAAGAGCUGAGGUCUAUGGUGAUAGGUGGGAUGGGCUGGGAGUGGCUGAGGGGUGGAAUUAAAGAGCUGAGGUCUAUGGUGAUAGGUGGGAUGGGCUGGGAGUGGCUGAGGGGUGGAAUUAAAGAGCUGAGGUCUAUGGUGAUAGGUGGGAUGGGCUGGGAGUGGCUGAGGGGUGGAAUUAAAGAGCUGAGGUCUAUGGUGAUAGGUGGGAUGGGCUGGGAGUGGCUGAGGGGUGGGAUUAAAGAGCUGAGGUCUAUGGUGAUAGGUGGGAU